rnacentral:rRNA from 1 species
UGCCAGCCGCCGCGGUAAUACGAACUGUGCAAACGUUAUUCGGAAUCACUGGGCUUAAAGGGUGCGUAGGCGGGUUGGUAGGUCAGAUGUGAAAGCCCACGGCUCAACCGUGGAAUUGCGUUUGAAACCCCCAGCCUUGAGGGAGAUAGAGGAGAGCGGAACUGAUGGUGGAGCGGUGAAAUGCGUUGAUAUCAUCAGGAACACCGGUGGCGAAAGCGGCUCUCUGGAUCUUUUCUGACGCUGAGGCACGAAAGCUAGGGGAGCGAACGGGAUUAGAUA